rnacentral:tRNA from 1 species
GGGACGCUGGCGCAACGGUUAGCGCAACUGGCUCAUAACCAGCAGGCUCUGUGUUCAAAUCACAGGCGUCCCA